GUCUAUGUUUUCUCACAUACCCCAAUUGAAUGUUACCGAAUGUUAUCAAUGGGCUUCUGCCUAUAAAACACAAUACAACUUUCAGCAACGGAUCUCUUGGCUCUCGCAUCGAUGAAGAACGCAGCGAAAUGCGAUAAGUAAUGUGAAUUGCAGAAUUCAGUGAAUCAUCGAAUCUUUGAACGCACCUUGCGCUCCUUGGUAUUCCGAGGAGCAUGCCUGUUUGAGUGUCAUUAAAUUCUCAACUUCAUCAACUUUGUUGUUGAAGCUUGGAUGUGGGGGUCUUGCAGGUCUGCCUUAAUUGUGUGGUCUGCUCCUCUGAAAUAUAUUAGCGGGUUGGCUUCCCUCUAUCAGUGUGAUAAUUAUCUACGCUGUGGAUGGGUUUAGCUUUCAGACCAGCUUCUAAUCGUCCUUCUAGGACAAUCUCUUGACAUUUUUGACCUCAAAUCAGGUAGGACUACCCGCUGAACUUAAGCAUAUCAAUAAGCGGAGGA
rnacentral:rRNA from 1 species